rnacentral:rRNA from 1 species
UAGGGAAUCUUGCGCAAUGGGCGAAAGCCUGACGCAGCGACGCCGCGUGCGGGAAGAAGGCCUUCGGGUUGUAAACCGCUUUCAGGAGGGACGAAGCCACUCGGGUUAAUAGCCCAGAGGGUGACGGUACCUCCAGAAGAAGCCCCGGCUAACUACGUGCCAGCAGCCGCGGUAAUACGUAGGGGGCAAGCGUUGUCCGGAUUUAUUGGGCGUAAAGAGCGUGUAGGCGGCCAGAUAGGUCAGCUGUGAAAACUCGAGGCUCAACCUCGAGAUGUCGGCUGAAACCAUCUGGCUAGAGUCCGGAAGAGGAGAAUGGAAUUCCCGGUGUAGCGGUGAAAUGCGCAGAUAUCGGGAAGAACACCCGUGGCGAAGGCGGUUCUCUGGGACGGUACUGACGCUGAGACGCGAAAGCGUGGGGAGCGAACA